GGGCCCGCACAAGCGGUGGAGUAUGUGGUUUAAUUCGAUGCAACGCGAAGAACCUUACCAGGGCUUGACAUCCUGCGAAUCUCUGGGAAACCGGAGAGUGCCUUCGGGAACGCAGUGACAGGUGGUGCAUGGCUGUCGUCAGCUCGUGUCGUGAGAUGUUGGGUUAAGUCCCGCAACGAGCGCAACCCACGUCUUUAGUUGCCAUCAUUCAGUUGGGCACUCUAGGGGGACUGCCGGUGAUAAGCCGAGAGGAAGGUGGGGAUGACGUCAAGUCCUCAUGGCCCUUACGGGCUGGGCUACACACGUGCUACAAUGGCGGUGACAGUGGGCAGCGACUCCGCGAGGAGGAGCCAAUCCCCAAAAACCGUCUCAGUUCGGAUUGCACUCUGCAACUCGGGUGCAUGAAGGUGGAAUCGCUAGUAAUCGUGGAUC
rnacentral:rRNA from 1 species